rnacentral:tRNA from 1 species
CUCGAUGUAGCCAAGCGGUCGAAGGCGAUGGUCUGCAAAACCGUCUGCGCAAGCACACCUCGGUUCGAAUCCGAGCGUCGAGUCCA